rnacentral:rRNA from 1 species
GACGAACGCUGGCGGCGUGCCUAAUACAUGCAAGUCGAACGAAACUUUCUUACACCGAAUGCUUGCAUUCACCGUAAGAAGUUGAGUGGCGGACGGGUGAGUAACACGUGGGUAACCUGCCUAAAAGAAGGGGAUAACACUUGGAAACAGGUGCUAAUACCGUAUAUCUCUAAGGAUCGCAUGAUCCUUAGAUGAAAGAUGGUUCUGCUAUCGCUUUUAGAUGGACCCGCGGCGUAUUAACUAGUUGGUGGGGUAACGGCCUACCAAGGUGAUGAUACGUAGCCGAACUGAGAGGUUGAUCGGCCACAUUGGGACUGAGACACGGCCCAAACUCCUACGGGAGGCAGCAGUAGGGAAUCUUCCACAAUGGACGCAAGUCUGAUGGAGCAACGCCGCGUGAGUGAAGAAGGUCUUCGGAUCGUAAAACUCUGUUGUUAGAGAAGAACACGAGUGAGAGUAACUGUUCAUUCGAUGACGGUAUCUAACCAGCAAGUCACGGCUAACUACGUGCCAGCAGCCGCGGUAAUACGUAGGUGGCAAGCGUUGUCCGGAUUUAUUGGGCGUAAAGGGAACGCAGGCGGUCUUUUAAGUCUGAUGUGAAAGCCUUCGGCUUAACCGGAGUAGUGCAUUGGAAACUGGAAGACUUGAGUGCAGAAGAGGAGAGUGGAACUCCAUGUGUAGCGGUGAAAUGCGUAGAUAUAUGGAAGAACACCAGUGGCGAAAGCGGCUCUCUGGUCUGUAACUGACGCUGAGGUUCGAAAGCGUGGGUAGCAAACAGG